rnacentral:rRNA from 1 species
UCGGUUCUAUUUUGUUGGUGUUCGGGACUGAAGUAAUGAUUGAUAGGGACAGUUGGGGCGGUCUGUAUUCCAAAGCGAGAGGUGAAAUUCUUAGACCUUCGGAAGACAAACAGCUGCGAAAGCGUUCCGCAAGGAUGUUCCCUUUGAUCAAGAACGAAAGUUGGGGGAUCGAAGACGAUCAGAUACUGUCGUAGUCUCAACUAUAAACUAUACCAGCUAGGGAUCGGCCAACGUUAUUUCAUACCGACUUGGUCGGCACCUUAUGAGAAAUCAAAGCAUCUGGGUUCCGGGGGGAGUAUGGUCGCAAGGCUGAAACUUAAAGGAAUUGACGGAAGGGCACCACCAGCCGUGGAGCCUGUGGCUUAAUUUGACUCAACACGGGAAAACUUACCAGGUCCAGACAUAGUAAGGAUUGACAGAUUGAUAGCUCUUUCUUGAUUCUGUGGGUGGUGGUGCAUGGCCGUUCUUAGUUGGUGGAGUGAUUUGUCUGGUUAAUUCCGUUAACGAACGAGACCCCAGCCUGCUAAAUAGCGCGCGUGAGCUUUGCUCGCGGCGAGCUUCUUAGAGGGACUCUGAUACGCGAUAGCACAUGGAAGUUUGGGGCAAUAACAGGUCUGUGAUGCCCUUAGAUGUUCUGGGCCGCACACGGGCUACACUGGCGCCUGCAACGAGCAUAUCAGCUGGCCCGAGAGGGUCUUGGCUAAUCUUUUGAACCGGCGCCGUGCUUGGGAUUGACCUUUGCAAUUGUUGGUCAUGCAACGAGGAAUGCCUUGUAAACGCAAGUCAUCAGCUUGCAUUGAUUACGUCCCUGCCCUUUGUACACACCGCCCGUCGCUCCUACCGAUGAAUGUUCCGAUGAAAUUUUCGGAGAGUGCCUGUGAACUUGGCUCUGCCUUGCGAACGGGAAGCUCAAAGUCACUUAAAUCUGAACAUUUCGAGG